UGUUUAUCUACCGAUCUGUUCUCUUACUAUUGGCAACAAUCGAAUAGCCAAAAGUAUUCUCUUCUUGUCCCAUUUUCUUUGAUUCCGGCUAGCACGUGCCAAAGCUUGCAACGGCGUAGAUGUGGCGGCACCAAGUGGUGGCAAGAUAGGUUCAAGCCAGAGCUGGCGGGGCCGCGGAUGCGGUUUCACAGCUAUAGCAAGGUGGAGGCAGAGGUGAUGCGAGUUGCGGAGUUUGGGUCAGGGGGUAUGUAUUACCAGAUGCUGGAGGGUUUCAAGGAAAUGCUUGAUCGCCUCCAGUCUUCAUGUCAGUAGAGCAAACAUCUGACUGUUGUCCAGUUGGGAGUGAGGCGAUGCUAAAUAAACACUAUCUAGUUUGAGGUUUUGCAGGAUAUUUGCUGGUUUCCCAUGCAAGUUUGAUCAUUAAUUUUUGUAGGAAUAUCCUAGUAAAAAUUGACCGAUAAAUUUGUGCAACUAUUUUUCAUGACAACCCUUAUGGUAUCAUUUGCACCUAACCGUUGUAUUUUUUAACACAUUAAUGUAAUAAAUGAAAGUUUGAAUGGAUGUUUUCCAGACAUCAUCUGGUAGGAGCUAGGAUCCUACCGGGUCUUGGCCGGAGGCUGUAGGGGUAAGAGGGAGGCUGGCGUGGGCGAGGGCGCCGUCUCGUGCGGUGGAGAGGCGGCGGCGAUGGAAGAGGCGGCGGCUAGGGUUAGGGAUUCCGGCUCCUCUGGGAGCCGGGCAAUAGAAUAUGUCUUAUUGCUUAAUUCCAAACGGGUGUCUUACAACUGUUUAUAUAACCUUGUUGCUAAUAAAAAUAAGAUAACUUGGGCUAAGCCCCUAACUAAACGGGCCCAUUGGGCCUCCUCCGGCUAUAAGUGGUGCCGGUCAUAACAUCUCUCCCCGCCUGCGCAAACAGCUCGUCCUCGAGCUGGAAGUCUGGAAAACGUCGGCGGAACUCCUCGAGCUGCUCCCUAGUGGCAUCCUCCUUCGGAAGGCCUUCCCACUGGAUCAAUAAAUGCCACACUCCGCGAUGCUGUUGGACCUGCAACACCUUGGUCGGACAUGGAAGAGGUCGUCCGUCGGAGAUCGGAGGUAGCGCCGGUGUGGCCGCUGGCGUGGUCUCCAUGGAAGGGCUUCAGCAAUCCCACAUGAAAUAUGUCAUGGAUGCGGGCACCGGCCGGCAGCUGCAAGCGGUAGGCCACCUUGCCUAUGCGCUCCACCACAGAAAAUGGCCCCGCGUAGCGAGGGCCCAGCUUGCGCUUAGCGCGCGGGUCCAAGGAUUGCGUGGAGCGGUGAAGGAGGCGCAACCACACCCAAUCGCCCACCGCAAACUCUGCCUCUCGGUGAUGGUCGUCAUAGUACCACUUGGAUAGCUGCUGGGCCUGGAGAAGGCGUUGGUGCACCUCUGCAAGCAUCUUGUCCCUGCUGCGAAGAAGAUCGCCCGCCGCCUAGGUCCGAGCCAUCUCAGGGUCAACCGGCAGGAUGGGUGGGGGCGGUCGGCCAUAGACCACCUCGAACGGCGUGGCACGCAGGGCGGAGUGAUAAGAGGUGUUGUAGCAGUACUCCGCCCAUGCGAGCCAAUCCACCCAAGCAUGGGGACGAUCACCUGUAACACAACACAAAUACAUGCACCUUGUUGACCACGUCAGAUUGGCCGUCCGUCUGAGGAUGGAAGGCCGUACUCAGGCGGAGCUUCACGCCCGCCAGACGGAAGAGAUCACGCUAGACAUGCCCCGUGAACACAGGGUCCCGGUCGCUGACGAUCGAAGACGAAAACCCGUGGAGGCGGAGAAUGCCGUCGAAGAAGGCACGAGCCACGGAUGCGGCCGUGUAGGGAUGUACGAGCGCGAUGAAGUGAGCGUACUUGGAGAAGCGGUCGAUCACCGUGAGGAUGACGGACUUGCCGCCCACCUUUGGGAGGCCCUCAAUGAAGUCCAUGGAAAUAUCGGCCCAGACCUGAGAGGGCACCUCCAGGGGUUGUAGUAGCCCGGCCGGGCGCAGUAUCUCCAUCUUGUUACGCUGGCACCUAACACACGACCGCACCCAGUCUCGGACCAAGGCCCGGUCGCCAGGGAUUUAGAAAUCUGCGCGGAGACGGUGGAGGGUCUUUUGCACACCCUCGUGGCUUGCCGAGUGCGCCAGCAGCCGAACCUGGUGACGGAAAUCGCCGUGAUCUGGCACGAAGAGGCGUUGCCCAUGCAGGAGCAGGUUGUCCGCCAAACGCCAUGGCUCUGCCACGUCGCCGGCGUCGAGGGGUUGCCGAAGGAGCUGAGCGUCCGGCGCGUCCGCGGUAGCCCUGCGGAUGUCGUCAAGGAGGGCGAAGGAGGGCCCCGAGCGGAUGCAGAGAGCCGCCCCGGCGGAGUCGCCAGCGUCCGUGUCGUGGUCCGCGUCGCGGCGGGACAGGGCGUCGGCCACGGUGUUAAGGCGAUCCGGACGGUACUCGACGGUGAAGUCGAAGCCAAAGAGCUUGCUGAUCCACUGGUGUUGCGGCACGGUAAACAACCUCUAGUCCAAUAAGAACUUGAGGCUGUAGUGAUGCUGCGAAUCCGGAACGGCCGUCCCCAAAGAUAUGGCCGCUGGUGGCGCACGGCCUGCACCAAGCCAAUGAGCUCCCUCUCAUAGGCCGCAAGCUUAUGAUGGCGCGCGGCGAAGGGCCUGCUGAAGAACGCCAGCGGUCCGUCGCCCUGAUGAAGGACUGCGCCGAACCCCACACUGGAGGCAUCGCAGUCCACCAUGAACGGCCGGUUGAAGUCGGGCAUCUGGAGGACGGGACCCGUCGUGAGGGCCUGCUUGAGAGCCUCGAACGCCUCUGUGGCCUCUACAUCCCAGGCGAAGGCGUCGUGUCGCAACAGGCUCGUGAGCGGGGACGCGAUGAGGCCAAACUCCCGGAUAAAUUUCCGGUAGUACCCCGCGAGGCCCAGGAAGCCUCGGAGAGCCCGCGGUGAGUGCGGCGUCGGCCAGGCUGCGACAGCCGCCACCUUGUCGGUGUCCAUAGCAACACCCUCGGCCGAGAUGACAUGGCCGAGGUAGGCGACGGAAGGCGUGCCGAACGAGCACUUCGAGCGAUUAAGAUGAAGAUGAUGCGCCCUAAGCUCGUUGAAGACGAUGGCGACAUGCUGAAGGUGCUCUGCCCAAGAGGCGUUGUAGAUAAGAAUGUCAUCAAAGAAAACGAGCACAAACCGACGCAAGUAAUGGCGGUGGGCGUCGUUCAUCAAGGCCUGAAAGGUCGUCGGAGCGUUGGAGAGGCCAAAAGGCAUCACCAAGAACUCAAAGUGGCCGUGAUGACUCCGAAAUGUUGUCUUCGCGACAUCGUCUGGGUGCAUCCGCACCUGGUGGUAGCCCGAACGGAGGUCGAGCUUGGUGAAGAAGCGCGCCCCAUGUAGUAGCUCGUCCAAGAGCUCGUCGACGACCGGGAUAGGAAAAUUGUCCUUGAGCGUCAGGGCGUACAGGGCGCGGUAGUCGAUGCAGAAGCGCCACGUGUCGUCCGACUUGCGGACGAGGAGGACCGGCGCUGAAAACGGCGACGUGGAAAUCCGGAUGAUACCCAAGGCGAGCAUGAGUGCACACUGCUGCUCCAGCUCGUCCUUCUGCAACUGGGGUAGCGGUAGGGGUGCACCGCAACCGGCGCCGUGCCCGGUAGGAGAUGAAUGCGGUGGUCAUACACCCGGGUUGGCGGAAGGCCCUUGGGCUCGUCGAAGAGAUCGCGGUGCUGCUGCGAGAGAUGAUCCAACAGCGGGUGCUCGGGCCUUGUAGCAGUCGCUGCGGCAUCGCUGGGGAGGGCCACCCAUGCCCGUCCACCGGAUGCGGUGACCCUGGCGCCAGAAGGUCAUCGUCAUGGUGUCGAAGUCCCAGAGGAUGGGACCGAGGGUCCGCAAGAAGUCGACGCCGAGGAUGAAGUCGAAGCAACCCAAGUCAAUGCCGGCGCACGUGAUGGUGAAGUGCUCAUCACCGAUGGUGAUGGGCACGUCCCGUGUAAUCCCAUGGCAAUGGAGACGGUCGCCAUUAGCCACGGUGACCCGGAGGUGCUCCCCGCCCGUCGGCUGGAGCGCUAAGCCGCGCAUGGUUGACUCGGGCAGGAAGUUAUGCGUGGAGCCCGUAUCCAGGAGGGCCACCAGGCGCUCACCGUUGAUCAUCACCGGCAAGAGCAUAGUUCGCUCGUCUCGGAUGUCCGCCAGAGCAUGGAGGGAGACCACGAGAGCCGUCGCGGAAGCGGGCGCCGGUGGGGCCUCCGCCGCAACUGGGGCGGACAGGUCGCCGAGCCCGUCGGUGGUGGUGUCUUCCUCGACGUAGUCGGAUGCCUCCAAGCAGAAGAGGCGCGGGCAGACGUGGCUUGGCACGUAGGGCUCGUUGCACUUAUAGCAAAGCCCCUAGCGAUGGCGCUCGAGCUGCUCGGCCGGGGUGAGCCGGCGGAAGGGCCGCGUCGCGGCCGGAGCGGUGGCNNNNNNNNNNNNNNNNNNNNNNNNNNNNNNNNNNNNNNNNNNNNNNNNNNNNNNNNNNNNNNNNNNNNNNNNNNNNNNNNNNNNNNNNNNNNNNNNNNNNNNNNNNNNNNNNNNNNNNNNNNNNNNNNNNNUGUUGGGGCCGGCCUGCCGAGCUGUCGAGCGCCCGGAGCCGGCGACGCCUGUUGCAGGGCCUGCGCGACGCUUGAAGGCACGGGCGUAAUGCAUGGCCGUCUGGAGGUCUUGAGGUCCCCGCAGCUCCACGUCCACGCGGAUAUGGUCCGACAGCCCGCCCACGAAGAGCUCGGCCCGUUGGCGAGCCGUCACGCCAGGCGCGUGACACGCUAGGGCCUGGAAGCGGUCGGUGAAGUCCUGCACCGUGAAGGUGAAGGGUAGGCGGCCAAGCUCCGCCAGCCGGCUCCCUUGGAUCGGAUGCCCGAAGCGUAGGAGGCAGAGCUCGCGGAAACGCUCCCAUGGAGGCAUGCCACCCUCAUCCUGCUCGAGAGCGUAAUACCACGUCUGUGCGGCGCCUCGGAGGUGAUAUGAAGCGAGCCAGGUGCGUUCCGACGCGAGCAUCCGUUGCCCUUGGAAGAACUGGUCACAUUGGUUGAGCCAGUUCAGGGGGUCCUCGGUGCCAUCGUAGGUGGCGAAGUCCAGUUUGGCGAACCGCGGCGGCGUGUGGGUAUGGGCGCCGUGGUGGUAGGGCUUGUCGGCGCGGAGAAGUGCGGGUACCCGCCGGGGCCGGCUUGAGGACCGGCGAAGCUGGAGGGCCCGUCGUACUGCGGGGGUGGCGCCUAUGGCGACUGGAUGUACGGCGGCGCCGAGGCCGUCGUGUAGACCGGCUGCAUUCUGGUCACCCAGGCCGGUAGCGGCGACGAUGAGGGCGGGAACCGGAGUUGGUGAAGAGGGACCCCCGGUGUCGAGGUAGGGCCCGGCCUGAAGGUGGUGUGUGGUGGCGGCGGCAGCUGCAGCGGCCCGGCGGGCGCGGCAGAGGCCGGCUGGUGUGGCGGCUGCNNNNNNNNNNNNNNNNNNNNNNNNNNNNNNNNNNNNNNNNNNNNNNNNNNNNNNNNNNNNNNNNNNNNNNNNNNNNNNNNNNNNNNNNNNNNNNNNNNNNNNNNNNNNNNNNNNNNNNNNNNNNNNNNNNCGGUGGCGGCUCGUAGGGAUCGGCCAGGUAGAGGCGGAUCCCCUGGACGGCGGUGGCGAGGUCGCAGAUCGCUCCUGUGAGCUCCUCCGGGGUGAGGACGAUGGGGAGCGGCGCGGCGGAGGUGACCGGCACGGGCACGUGCGGGGCGCCGGCCGUGGUGGUCAUUGGGGCGGUGGUGGAUGUCGGCAGCGGGAGGGAUGGGGAGGGCGGCGGCGAAGACAUGACCGAACCUAAGCUUCCUGAUACCAAACUGGUAGGAGCUAGGAACCGGGUCUUGGCCGGAGGCUGUAGGGGUAAGAGGGAGGCUGGCGCGGGCGAGGGCGCGGCAGCCUGCACGAGGGCGCCGUCUCGCGCGGUGGAGAGGCGGUGGCUAGGGUUAGGGAUUCCGGCUCCUCUGGGAGCCGGGCAAUAGAAUAUGUCUUAUUGCUUAAUUCCAAACGGGUGUCUUACAACUGUUUAUAUAACCUUGUUGCUAAUAAAAAUAAGAUAACUUGGGCUAAGCCCCUAACUAAACGGGCCCAUUGGGCCUCCUCCGGCUAUAAGUGGUGCGGUCAUAACAUCAUCUAUAUGGAACAGACGUAGUUGUAGUUUUAUUGACAUUGUAUAACAUGAUGCAAGUAGCUUUAC
rnacentral:lncRNA from 1 species